GUAAAGCGUCAGCUCGUCCCCUUCUGUGUUUGUCCGCUGUGUGAGUGUGGCAGGAGCUGUGCUCGGUGUCUCCGUCAGUGACCAUCAGCUGUUUCUCUGUUGUCAGAUGAAUAGGUUUGUUUUGACACCACACCGUGAAUGACCGGUACCGACGGCUCAGCGCAACAGGUCUCACCUCUACUGGUCGUCAUAGCAACACGGUGAGGUAGACACCAGAUCUGACCAAUCAGCG